GAUGAACGCUGGCGGCGUGCCUAAUACAUGCAAGUCGAGCGAACGGACGAGAAUCUUGCUUCUCUGAUGUUAGCGGCGGACGGGUGAGUAACACGUGGAUAACCUACCUAUAAGACUGGGAUAACUUCGGGAACCCUGAUCUAAUACCGGAUAAUAUUUUGAACCGCAUGGUUCAACAGUGAAAGACGUUCUUGCUGUCACUAAUAGAUGGAUCCUCGCUGCAUUAGCUAGUUGGUAAGGUAACGGCUUACCAAGGCGACGAUGCAUAGCCGACCUGAGAGGGUGAUCGGCCACACUGGAACUGAGACACGGUCCAGACUCCUACGGGAGGCAGCAGUAGGGAAUCUUGGGCAAUGGGCGAAAGCCUGACGGAGCCACGCCGCGUGAGUGAAGAAGGUCUUCGGAUCGUAAAGCACUGUUAGUAGGGAAGAACAGAUGUGUAAGUAACUGUGCACAUCUUGACGGUACCUAAUCAGAAAGCCACGGCUAACUACGUG
rnacentral:rRNA from 1 species